AACAGAUGGCACAUUCAAAUGAGGAUAAAGUGCUUACUAAAAGGUGUGGAGAAACUGUUAUGUGCUGAGUGUGUCUCCUUUCCCCCCGGUUUCAUAUGUUCAAGUCCCAACCCUCAGUACCUCCAACUGUAACCAUAUUUUGAAGUAACGUCUUUUAAAAAAUAAUUUAAUUUCAUUUUAAAAGUUGACACACAAUAAUUGUGCAUAUUUAAGGGGUACAUAGUGAUGUUUUGAUACAUAUAAUGUAUAGUGAUCAGAUCAGAGUAAUUAGCAUAUCCAUCAUCUCAAAUCUUUAUUUUUUUGUGUGUUGGGAACAUUCAAUGUCUUCUUUCUAGCUAUUUGACACUGUAUAAUAUAUUAUUGUAAACUAUAGUCAUCCUACAGUGGUGCAGAACAGCGGUCCCCAACGUUUUUGGCACCAGGAACUGGUUUCAUGGAAGACAGGUUUUCCCCAGAUUGGCGGGGUGGGGGGAUGGUUUGGGGAUGAUUCAAGUACAUUAUAUUUAUUGUGCACUUUAUUAUUAUGAUAUUGUAAUAUAUAAUGAAAUAAUUAUACAAGUCACCAUAAUGUAGAAUCAAUGGGAGCCCUGAGCUUGUUUUCUUACAACUAGAUGGUCCCAUCUGAGGGUGAUGGGAAUCAGUGACAGAUCAUCGGGCAUUAGAUUCUCAAUUCUCCUAAGGAGCUCACAACCUAGAUCCCUUGCAUGCACAGUUCACAAGAGGGUUCACA
rnacentral:lncRNA from 1 species